rnacentral:lncRNA from 1 species
UUCAAGCUGCUUUGGGAUUAUUUCCUGCACCGAAGUUGUUGUUUUGUUGGGUUUUUUCUCUCCCCAACUCGCUUUUCUGGUUUGGAGCCCUGGGGGAGCAAUGGGAGGGCGCUGCUGGAGGUGAUUUUGGGAGGUUCUGAGCACAGGAGGCUGCGAGGGGGGCUGGAGCUCCUGGGUUUGUCCUGCACUCAGCAAAAUUUCCUUAUUCCUUUGCUUUUCCUUUCCUUAUUCCUUUCCCCUUCCCUUUUCUUUUCCUUAUUCCUUUCUUCUUUCCUUAUUCCUUUUCUUUUUCCUUUCCUUAUUUCUUUCUCCUUCCCCUUUCCUUAUUCCUUUCUCCUUUCCUUAUUCCUUUCUCCUUUCCUUAUUCCUUUCCCCUUUUCUUUCCCUUAUUCCUUUCUCUUUUCCUUAUUCCUUUUCUUUUUCCUUUCCAUAUUCCUCUACCCUUCCCUUUAUCCUUCUUUUUCCUUUCCCCCUCUUUUAUUUUCCUUAUUCCUUUUCCUUAUUCCUUUUCUUUCCCCUUUCCUUAUUCUGUUCCCCUUUCCCUUCUCUUUUCAACUUUCCUUUCCCCUUCCCUUUUUCCCUCCCUUUUUCCUUUCCCCUUUAAUUUUUCCUUCCUUUUUUCCUUUUUCCUUCCCUUUUUCUUUCCCCCUUUCCCUUCCCUUUUUCCUUUCCCCUUCCCAUUUUCCUUUCCCCUUCCCCUUUUCCUUUUUCCUUUUAUUUUUCCUUUCCCUUUCCCUUUUUCCUUCCCUUUUUCCUUUUCCCUUUCCUUUUCCCUUAUUCCAUUCCCUUUUCCCUUCCUCUUUCCUUAUUCUUUCCCCCUUCCCUUUUUCCUUUUUCCCUUCCCUCCCUGGGGAUAAUUUCCCACCCCAAAUCCCCUCCCGGGAUGGAUUCCAGCUCCUCUUUCCCUGCAAAUCCCCGAUUUUAUUCCCAUUUUCCCACCUCAUUUCAGCCGGGAGAAACUUUCCCAUUUCUCCGGAGGGAUCCUGGAGCAGACACAGGCGGUGCUGCCGCUCAGUGGCAAAACACAGGAGAAUUCCCCUUUUCCCAUGGAAUUUCCUCCCCUCCCUUGUUUUUUAUAAAAUAAAAUUAAUGUAUUUAUUCUUUAUAUCGUGA